UUCCUGAUGGUCUAGUGGUUAGGACUUAGUGCUUUUAUCACUGUGGCCUGGGUUCAACCCCAUAUCAAGAUG
rnacentral:tRNA from 1 species